GCUGGGCAUGGUGGCGCAUGCCUGUAAUCCCAGCUACUCAGGAGGCUGAGGCAGGAGAAUUGCUUGUACCCAGGAGUUGGAGGUUGCAGUGAGCUGAGAUUGCGCCAUUGCACUCCAGCCUGGGCGACAGAGCAAGACUCUGUCUCCA
ensembl:misc_RNA Metazoa_SRP Metazoan signal recognition particle RNA